rnacentral:rRNA from 1 species
GACGUAGGGCGCGAGCGUUGUCCGGAUUUAUUGGCGUAAAGAGCUCGUAGGCGGCUUGUUGCGUCGACUGUGAAACCCGCGGCUUAACCGCGGGCCUGCGAGUUGAUACGGGCAGGCGUAGAGUUCGGUAGGGGAGCUGGAAUUCCUGGGUGUAGGCGGUGAAAUGCGCAGAUAUCAGGAGGAACACCGGUGGCGAAGGCGGGUCUCUGGGCCGUAACUGACGCUGGAGGAGCGGAAAGCCAUGGGGGAGCGAAACAGG